rnacentral:lncRNA from 1 species
AUGGAUGCUUGGAAUUCAAAUGGCUAUAAUCAUCAAGUGGGGUUGAAGAGAUGGACAGAUGUUACGACAUUCCGGCAAACUGGAGCCUGUGUUCUUACUCGGAAUUCGGAUGGCAAUCCCAUCUAUUUAUAUAUAUAUAUAUAUAUAUAUAUAUAUGUAGAGAGAGAGAGAGAGAGAGAGAGAGAGACUGUUCCAAACUACUGUUGGUAGAAGCAUCAGUACUACACUCAUGGUAUCCAUACAUAAAGAAGGGUUUUUACUGCGUUUAAGUUGAAGAUAUCGCUAAUAAUCUGUGAAUUGGCCCUGUGAUGGAGCUCGAGCCCGAUGACUGAACUACGAGAGAGGGCCGAUUCUGUGAGAAAUGCCAUGGGAUGAAGAUGACCUUUUUCUCAAGUACGUGUAUGCAAAUAGGAGAUCCGUGGAUGAAUGGGUGAAAAUGACCUUCACAAGGAAGCGGAACAAAGGUAGCCUUCAAGGAGACAAAAGGUUUGACUUUAUUUAACUUUUUUUAUUCUAUUGAUUACAAACCAAAUCAUCCUCAGUAAUCCCAUCUUUUUAUCUGCCUUUUUUUAUCUUUUGGGAUUUGAUGAAUCAUAAUCAUAAUCACAAACAUUGAAUUUGGG